GACGAACGCUGGCGGCGUGCCUAAUACAUGCAAGUAGAACGCUGAAGGAGGAGCUUGCUUCUCUGGAUGAGUUGCGAACGGGUGAGUAACGCGUAGGUAACCUGCCUUGUAGCGGGGGAUAACUAUUGGAAACGAUAGCUAAUACCGCAUAAUAGUAGAUGUCGCAUGACAUUUGCUUAAAAGGUGCAAUUGCAUCACUACCAGAUGGACCUGCGUUGUAUUAGCUAGUUGGUGAGGUAACGGCUCACCAAGGCAACGAUACAUAGCCGACCUGAGAGGGGGAUCGGCCAACAUGGGACUGAGACAAGGCCCAGACUCCUAAGGGGGGGAGCAGGAGGGAAUUAUUGGCAAUGGACGGAAGGCUGAACGAGCAAAGACGCGGGGGUGAAGAAGGGUCUCGGAUCGUAAAGCUCUGUUGUAAGAGAAGAAAGAGUGUGAGAGUGGAAAGUUCACACUGUGACGGUAUCUUAACAGAAAGGGACGGCUAACUACGUG
rnacentral:rRNA from 1 species